CCCCGAGCUUAACUNGGGAACUGCGUUUUGAACUGGUAAGCUAGAGUAUGUCAGAGGGGGGUAGAAUUCCACGUGUAGCUGUGAAAUGCGUAGAGAUGUGGAGGAAUACCGAUGGCGAAGGCAGCCCCCUGGGAUAAUACUGACGUUCAUGCUCGAAAGCGUGGGUAGCAAACAGGAUUAGAUACCCUGGUAGUCCACGCCCUAAACGAUGUCAAUUAGCUGUUGGGGCACUUGAUGCCUUAGUAGCGAAGCUAACGCGUGAAAUUGACCGCCUGGGGAGUACGGUCGCAAGAUUAAAACUCAAAGGAAUUGACGGGGACCCGCACAAGCGGUGGAUGAUGUGGAUUAAUUCGAUGCAACGCGAAGAACCUUACCUGGUCUUGACAUGUACGGAAUCUUCCAGAGACGGAAGAGUGCCUUCGGGAGCCGUAACACAGGUGCUGCAUGGCUGUCGUCAGCUCGUGUCGUGAGAUGUUGGGUUAAGUCCCGCAACGAGCGCAACCCUUGUCAUUAGUUGCCACCAUUCAGUUGGGCACUCUAAUGAGACUGCCGGUGACAACCCGGAGGAAGGUGGGGAUGACGUCAAGUCCUCAUGGCCCUUAUGACCAGGGCUUCACACGUCAUACAAUGGUCGGUACAGAGGGUAGCCAAGCCGCGAGGUGGAGCCAAUCUCAGAAAACCGAUCGUAGUCCGGAUUGCACUCUGCAACUCGAGUGCAUGAAGUCGGAAUCGCUAGUAAUCGCAGGUCAGCAUACUGCGGUGAAUACGUUCCCGGGUCUUGUACACACCGCCCGUCACACCAUGGGAGUGGGGGAUACCAGAAGUAGGUAGGCUAACCGCAAGGAGGCCGCUUACC
rnacentral:rRNA from 1 species